GUGUGGCGGGGUAACGGCCCACCAGGCGACGAUGCGUAGGGGUUCUGAGAGGAAGGUCCCCCCACACUGGUACUGAGACACGGACCAGACUCCUACGGAAGGCAGCAG
rnacentral:rRNA from 1 species